UACGGGGCAAGCGUUGUUCGGAAUUACUGGGCGUAAAGGCUCGUAGGCGGCCAACUAAGUCGGACGUGAAAUCCCUCGGCUUAACCGGGGAACUGCGUCCGAUACUGGAUGGCUUGAGUAUGGGAGAGGGAUGCGGAAUUCCAGGUGUAGCGGUGAAAUGCGUAGAUAUCUGGAGGAACACCGGUGGCGAAGGCGGCAUCCUGGACCUUACUGACGCUGAGGAGCGAAAGCGUGGGGAGCGAACAGG
rnacentral:rRNA from 1 species